ACGAACGCUGGCGGCGUGCUUAACACAUGCAAGUCGAACGGAAAGGCCCUGCUUGCAGGGUACUCGAGUGGCGAACGGGUGAGUAACACGUGGGUGAUCUGCCCUGCACUUCGGGAUAAGCUUGGGAAACUGGGUCUAAUACCGGAUAGGAGCCAUCUUUAGUGUGGUGGUUGGAAAGUUUUUUCGGUGUAGGAUGAGCUCGCGGCCUAUCAGCUUGUUGGUGGGGUAAUGGCCUACCAAGGCGGCGACGGGUAGCCGGCCUGAGAGGGUGUACGGCCACAUUGGGACUGAGAUACGGCCCAGACUCCUACGGGAGGCAGCAGUGGGGAAUAUUGCACAAUGGGCGCAAGCCUGAUGCAGCGACGCCGCGUGGGGGAUGAAGGCCUUCGGGUUGUAAACUCCUUUCGCUAGGGACGAAGCUUUUUUGUGACGGUACCUAGAUAAGAAGCACCGGCUAACUACGU
rnacentral:rRNA from 1 species